rfam:Bathycoccus prasinos genomic : Mitochondrion.
GCGGGUAUAGAUUAAUGGUAGAUUAUCUGUUUUCCACACAGAAGAUAUGGGUUCGAUUCCCUUUACCCGUA